GACAGAGGAUGCAAGCGUUAUCCGGAAUGAUUGGGCGUAAAGCGUCUGUAGGUGGCUUUCAAGUCCGCCGUCAAAUCCCAGGGCUCAACCCUGGACAGGCGGUGGAAACUACCAAGCUGGAGUACGGUAGGGGCAGAGGGAAUUUCCGGUGGAGCGGUGAAAUGCAUUGAGAUCGGAAAGACACCACGGCGAAAGCACUCUGCGGCCGACACUGGACCGACUAGAGCGCAAGCAGGACGAAGCAAUGG
rnacentral:rRNA from 1 species